AUGACGCCCUCAGGCGCCGCCGUCGUCGUGGCCGGCAUAGCCAGCCAUGGAUUUCUCCAGGCCCCCAUCUUCCCCACCCCUACCACAGAAGCGGCGCCGGCGACCUGGGCCAGCCGGAAACCAGAUCUGACAGGGGCCGAAAGGAUUGGGAGCGGAGGCGUCAGAUCUGGGACGGGCGCCCCCGCGGCCACUGCACCCCACAGCCACCACCCGCCGCCGCCUUGCCACCCGCGUGGCCAAGGCGGACGGCCAGCACCAGCGACGCCACGAGCUGAAAACGACGACGCACCACCACCCGAGGCCGCCGCCCCGGCUCCAGAGCCCCUGCGUGAAACAGGCGGACAGAUUCUCGCCACCACCCUCCCCGGCGGACACGCGGCUUUCCGGCGACCCCCUCCGGUGGUGGCGAGGGAGAGGAAAAGGGGGGAGGAGGGCCGGCGGCGGCUAGGGUUAGCGCCGCCCGAGUCGCCCCUGCGGGAGCGACACGGGGGCCAAGCUUCGUGGAACAAUUAA
rnacentral:rRNA from 1 species